rnacentral:rRNA from 1 species
CCUACGGGAGGCAGCAGUGAGGAAUAUUGGACAAUGGACGGAAGGCUGAAGCAGCCAUGCCGCGUGCAGGAAGACGGCCCAAGGAGUUGUAAACUGCUUUUGUAGGAGGGAAAACGCAGAUACGCGUAUCAGUCUGAAAGUAUCGGACGAAUAAGGAACGGCUAACUCUGUGCCAGCAGCCGCGGUAAUACGGAGGAUUCAAGCGUUAUGCGGAUUUAGUGGGUUUAAAGGGUGCGUAGGCGGUCGGACAAGUCAGAGGUGAAAGCCCGAGGCCCAACUUCGGAACUGCAUUGGAUACUGUCAGUCUGGAGAGUAGGUGAGGUAGGCGGAAUGUAUGGUGUAGCGGUGAAAUGCUUAGAGAU